rnacentral:rRNA from 1 species
UCGAGCGAUGAAAUUUCGACAGAUCCCUUCGGGAUGAAGAUGAAAUGGAUUAGCGGCGGACGGGUGAGUAACACGUGAGUAACCUGCCUUAGACAUUGGGAUAGCCUCGGGAAACCGGGAUUAAUACCAAAUGAAAUCACAUAUGCACAUGCAUAAAUGAUCAAAGCUCCGGCGGUCUAAGAUGGACUCGCGUCCCAUUAGCUAGUUGGUGAGGUAACGGCCCACCAAGGCGACGAUGGGUAGCCGGCCUGAGAGGGUGAACGGCCACAUUGGAACUGAGAAACGGUCCAAACUCCUACGGGAGGCAGCAGUGGGGAAUAUUGCACAAUGGAGGGAACUCUGAUGCAGCGACGCCGCGUGAACGAAGAAGGCUUUCGAGUCGUAAAGUUCUUUUAUAUGGGAAGAUAAUGACGGUACCAUAAGAAAAAGCCCCGGCUAACUACGUGCCAGCAGCCGCGGUAAUACGUAGGGGGCUAGCGUUGUCCGGAAUCACUGGGCGUAAAGGGUUCGCAGGCGGAAAUGCAAGUCAGGUGUAAAAGGCAGUAGCUUAACUACUGUAAGCAUUUGAAACUGCAUAUCUUGAGAAGAGU